UUUCCGUAGGUGAACCUGCGGAAGGAUCAUUGUCGAAAACU
rnacentral:rRNA from 1 species